AAGAGAGAGGAGAGUCCAGAGAGGGAAGAGAGAGAGGAGAGUCCAGAGAGGGAAGAGAGAGAGAGGAGAGUCCAGAGGAGGGAAGAGAGAGAGAGAAGAGUCCAGAGGAGGAAGAGAGAGAAGAGAGUCCAGGGAGGGAUGAGAGAGAGGAGAGUCCAGAGGAGGGAUGAGAGAGAGGAGAGUCCAGAGGAGGGAUGAGAGAGAGGAGAGUCCAGAGAGGGAAGAGAGAGGAGAGUCCAGAGAGGGAAGAGAGAGAGGAGAGUCCAGAGAGGGGAGAGAGAGAGGAGAGUCCAGAGAGGGAAGAGAGAGAGGAGAGUCCAGAGAGGGAAGAGAGAGAGGAGAGUCCAGAGAGGGAAGAGAGAGAGGAGAGUCCAGAGG
ensembl:lncRNA